CAGGGAGACAUCACUGAUUUUGAUGCCUGAAUCUUUUAUUUUUAGGCCAUAAUCCUGUCACCUUAGGUCGAUCGGUACCUCAGUUUGAUUUUUCAAGAACAAGUAUUUGUUUGUAGAAAUUUUGAAUUCAGUUCCUAAACUUUGUCUAGGUCACACCCAACAAGGGUACUCCUGGGCCAUUAGCUCAGGUGGUUAGAGCGCACCCCUGAUAAGGGUGAGGUCCCUGGUUCAAGUCCAGGAUGGCCCAUUCGGUGUUGGGGGUAUAGCUCAGUUGGUAGAGCGCCUGCUUUGCAAGCAGGAUGUCAGCGGUUCGAGUCCGCUUACCUCCAUUGAUCCAACUCCUGAUGACGAAGCCCAAGGAGAUAUGUCUUGAUUGUGAUCUAGCACUUGUUCUUUAUGAAUGAACCUAGCUUCUUGUCAUUCCUUGCUAAAUAAUUUGGCAUGGCUGAUAUGACGCUGGGCUCCCUGCAAUCCAAAUUGCAGAGACGUUCAGUAGAACCUUGAAAACUGCAUAGGUGAGUCUGGAAAGAAUAAAGCAUCUCAUGGAUGCAUUAUUCUUUUGAGUUAAUUUAAUAAUUAACUGAUUUUUUCAGAAGUAAUUAUUAGAUUUACUCGAAUUUAUAAUGUUUAAUUCUUGAGCAAGAGCCGAGACUCUAAUAUCGCCCUUUCAUUUUUUAAUGAGAGUCAGAUCUUUAAUUCAUUAAUGAAUUAAAGAGAAAAGUGUUAACAACACAGGCGUUUUAGAGAUUAAU
rnacentral:tRNA from 1 species